rnacentral:rRNA from 1 species
AAAUGAAUAGACGGGGCCCCGCACAAGCAGUGGAGUAUGUGGUUUAAUUCGACGCAACGCGAAGAACCUUACCAGGUCUUGACAUCCUAGGAAUCCUUUAGAGAUAAGGGAGUGCCCUUCGGGGAACCUAGAGACAGGUGGUGCAUGGUUGUCGUCAGCUCGUGUCGUGAGAUGUUGGGUUAAGUCCCGCAACGAGCGCAACCCCUAUGAUUAGUUGCUACGCAAGAGCACUCUAGUCAGACUGCCGUUGACAAAACGGAGGAAGGUGGGGAUGACGUCAAAUCAUCAUGCCCUUUAUGACCUGGGCUACACACGUACUACAAUGGUCGUUAACAGAGGGAAGCAAUCCCGCGAGGAGGAGCAAACCCCUAAAAACGAUCUCAGUUCAGAUUGCAGGCUGCAACUCGCCUGCAUGAAGUUGGAAUUGCUAGUAAUCGUGGAUCAGCAUGCCACGGUGAAUACGUUCCCGGGGCUUGUACACACCGCCCGU